GAAUUAAUGUUUUACUAAAACAGACACCCCCAUUUUUGAAAAGAUUAUUUUAUUUUAUGAUGAUUAGAACAACUUUCUAACAUUAACUGACACAUGUCGAUGACCACCUAGUCAGUAAAGGGCGUUACUGUGAGUGAAUGAACAAACGAGGAAACUUCUGUAGUCUCUGCCCGCGCAUGCGCAAUCAAUAAUAAACCGCUGCCAGCAGAGCCAGGUACAACGUAUUAACGUGUCCGUUCCUCAUCAUUCACAGGUACUAUUUGUAACUAUUCCUAAACAUUCUUAAAGAUGAAAGUAAUGUGAACUGUCUGUGACAUUAUAGUAACAUUUUGAGAGAACUUGAUCCGAGUUCUGAUAAAUAUCUCUUUUGUUUUGCCGAGUCGAAUAACGGCUACCGUUAGUUCUUUAACGGCUGGAUUACAGAGAGCACACGGGAUGUACCGAUGUGCAUGUAAAAGAGAAUAUAGUGUCCGUUUUAUGUUUACUUUUUGUGUCUGAGCCAAUGGCUGAAGUAAUGUGAACUGUCUGUGACAUUAUAGUAACAUUUUGAGAGAACUUGAUCCGAGUUCUGAUAAGUAUCUCUUUUGUUUUGCCGAGUCGAAUAACGGCUACCGUUAGUUCUUUAACGGCUGAAUUACAGAGAGCACACGGGAUGUACCGAUGUGCAUGUAAAAGAGAAUAUAGUGUCCGUUUUAUGUUUACUUUUUUGUAUCUGUCUUUGGUGAUGGGAAGUUAUUAUUUUGAUGAACAUUAAGCUUAUUUUGCAAUGAAAGACAUAUACACUCAGAGACAGACACAUGUAAUGGGUUAUUACGUUGCACUUUAUUUUAUUUUACAAGAGUAUUUGUUUGUAUUACUCAGGUUAUUAACAAUAUUGUAAACUAAGAGGUCAAUUGUAUUUUGAGCUGUUUUGAAGUUAAAGACUGACAGUGUAUUUUGACAUGAAUACUAUCCCCAUGUUAUGAUGUUUUGUGAUAUUCUCAAAGCAAGGAUAGUUUGAUAUUUGUGUUUAAAUGGAAUGACUGAAUGUUUAAGAUUGUUGGAAUCAAUAAUAAACCGCUGCCAGCAGAGCCAGGUACAACGUAUUAACGUGUCCGUUCCUCAUCAUUCACAGGUACUAUUUGUAACUAUUCCUAAACAUUCUUAAAGAUGAAAGUAAUGUGAACUGUCUGUGACAUUAUAGUAACAUUUUGAGAGAACUUGAUCCGAGUUCUGAUAAAUAUCUCUUUUGUUUUGCCGAGUCGAAUAACGGCUACCGUUAGUUCUUUAACGGCUGGAUUACAGAGAGCACACGGGAUGUACCGAUGUGCAUGUAAAAGAGAAUAUAGUGUCCGUUUUAUGUUUACUUUUUGUGUCUGAGCCAAUGGCUGAAGUAAUGUGAACUGUCUGUGACAUUAUAGUAACAUUUUGAGAGAACUUGAUCCGAGUUCUGAUAAGUAUCUCUUUUGUUUUGCCGAGUCGAAUAACGGCUACCGUUAGUUCUUUAACGGCUGAAUUACAGAGAGCACACGGGAUGUACCGAUGUGCAUGUAAAAGAGAAUAUAGUGUCCGUUUUAUGUUUACUUUUUUGUAUCUGUCUUUGGUGAUGGGAAGUUAUUAUUUUGAUGAACAUUAAGCUUAUUUUGCAAUGAAAGACAUAUACACUCAGAGACAGACACAUGUAAUGGGUUAUUACGUUGCACUUUAUUUUAUUUUACAAGAGUAUUUGUUUGUAUUACUCAGGUUAUUAACAAUAUUGUAAACUAAGAGGUCAAUUGUAUUUUGAGCUGUUUUGAAGUUAAAGACUGACAGUGUAUUUUGACAUGAAUACUAUCCCCAUGUUAUGAUGUUUUGUGAUAUUCUCAAAGCAAGGAUAGUUUGAUAUUUGUGUUUAAAUGGAAUGACUGAAUGUUUAAGAUUGUUGGAAUCAAUAAUAAACCGCUGCCAGCAGAGCCAGGUACAACGUA